rnacentral:rRNA from 1 species
UACGUAGGGUGCAAGCGUUGUCCGGAAUUAUUGGGCGUAAAGAGCUCGUAGGCGGUCUGUCGCGUCGGCUGUGAAAACCCGGAGCUCAACUCCGGGACCUGCAGUCGAUACGGGCAGACUGGAGUUCGGCAGGGGAGACUGGAAUUCCUGGUGUAGCGGUGAAAUGCGUAGAUAUCAGGAGGAACACCGGUGGCGAAGGCGG